GGCAGCAGGCGCGCAAAUUACCCACUCCCAGCACGGGGAGGUAGUGACGAAAAAUAACGAUACGGGACUCAUCCGAGGCCCCGUAAUCGGAAUGAGUACACUUUAAAACUUUUCCCAAAAAUCAAUUGGAGGGUAAGUCUGGUGCCAGCAGCCGCGGUAAUUCCAGCUCCAAUAGCGUAUAUUAAAGUUGUUGCGGUUAAAAAGCUCGUAGUCGAAUCUGUGUCCCGCGCCGCUGGUUCAUCGCUCGCGGUGUUUAACUGGCGUGUCUCGCGGGACGUCCUGCCGGUGGGCGCUCGUAUCGUUUCGGCGGUGCGUGGCCCAACUCGUAGCCGUCUUGCGCGGAUGCGAAUCCCAUCGCGGUGCUCUUUAUUGAGUGUCGAGGUGGGCCGGCACGUUUACUUUGAACAAAUUAGAGUGCUUAAAGCAGGCCAAUUUUGCCUGAAUAUUGUGUGCAUGGAAUAAUGGAAUAGGACCUCGGUUCUAUUUUGUUGGUUUUCGGAACCCCGAGGUAAUGAUUAAUAGGAACGGAUGGGGGCAUUCGUAUUGCGACGUUAGAGGUGAAAUUCUUGGAUCGUCGCAAGACGGACAGAAGCGAAAGCAUUUGCCAAAAACGCUUUCAUUGAUCAAGAACGAAAGUUAGAGGUUCGAAGGCGAUCAGAUACCGCCCUAGUUCUAACCAUAAACGAUGCCAGCUAGCGAUCCGCCGACGUUCCUCCGAUGACUCGGCGGGCAGCUUCCGGGAAACCAAAGCUUUUGGGUUCCGGGGGAAGUAUGGUUGCAAAGCUGAAACUUAAAGGAAUUGACGGAAGGGCACCACCAGGAGUGGAGCCUGCGGCUUAAUUUGACUCAACACGGGACACCUCACCAGGCCCGGACACCGGAAGGAUUGACAGAUUGAUAGCUCUUUCUUGAUUCGGUGGGUGGUGGUGCAUGGCCGUUCUUAGUUGGUGGAGCGAUU
rnacentral:rRNA from 1 species